CGGAGGGUGCAAGCGUUAUCCGGAUUCACUGGGUUUAAAGGGUGCGUAGGAGGGCAGGUAAGUCAGUGGUGAAAUCUCCGAGCUUAACUUGGAAACUGCCGUUGAUACUAUCUGCCUUGAAUAUUGUGGAGGUGAGCGGAAUAUGUCAUGCAGCGGUGAAAUGCUUAGAUAUGACAUAGAACACCAAUUGCGAAGGCAGCUCGCUACACAUAUAUUGACUCUGAGGCACGAAAGCGUGGGGAUCAAACAGGAUUAGAUACCCUGGUAGUCCACGCCCUAAACGAUGGAUACUCGACAUACGCGAUACACUGUGUGUGUCUGAGCGAAAGCAUUAAGUAUCCCACCUGGGAAGUACGACCGCAAGGUUG
rnacentral:rRNA from 1 species